AUUGAACGCUGGCGGCAGGCCUAACACAUGCAAGUCUAACGAUUGGCGGACGGGUGAGUAAUGUCUGGUAAACUGCCUGAUUGAGGGGGAUCACUACUGGAAACGGUAUCUACUACCGCAUACCCUCUGCUGUGCCCAGAUGGGAUUAGCUAGUAGGUGGGGUAAAGGCUCACCUAGGCGACGAUCCCUACCUGGUCUGAAAGGAUUACCAGGCAGACUGAAAAUGAGGAACGGUCCAGAUUCCUAAGGGAGGCAGCAGUGGGGAAUAUUGCACAAUGGGCGCAGACCGGAUGAAGCCAUGCCGCGUGUAUGAAGAAGGCCUUCGGGUUGUAAAGUAAAUUCAGCGGGGAGGCGGUAGCCGCAGAAGAAGCACCGGCUAACUCCAUGCCCGCAGCCGCGGUAAUUC
rnacentral:rRNA from 1 species